rnacentral:misc_RNA from 1 species
GUAGGUGAACCUGCGGAAGGAUCAUUAACACGUUUUAUUAAACCAAAACGUACUAAAACUCUGUGAACGAGAUUUCCAAUAGAUCUUAUGAACUAUUGGGUCCAUAAAUCUCACCAUUUUUUUCAAUAUCACCAACCCCUAAAACUACCUAAUAUAUAUAUAUGUAAUUCCUUCGGGAAUUAUUAUAUAUGUAUUUUGUAUGUUUGUAACUAAAUUUUUUUUCAUUUCAUGCCUAAAAACAUGGAAGCAA